CGUAGGGUGCGAGCGUUAAUCGGAAUUACUGGGCGUAAAGCGUGCGCAGGCGGUUUUUGUAAGACAGAUGUGAAAUCCCCGGGCUCAACCUGGGACCUGCAUUUGUGACUGCAAGGCUAGAGUACGGUAGAGGGGGAUGGAAUUCCGCGUGUAGCAGUGAAAUGCGUAGAUAUGCGGAGGAACACCGAUGGCGAAGGCAAUCCCCUGGACCUGUACUGACGCUCAUGCACGAAAGCGUGGGGAGCAAACAGGAUUAGAUACCCUGGUAGUCCACGCCCUAAACGAUGUCAACUGGUUGUUGGGUCUUUACUGACUCAGUAACGAAGCUAACGCGUGAAGUUGACCGCCUGGGGAGUACGGCCGCAAGGCUG
rnacentral:rRNA from 1 species